rnacentral:rRNA from 1 species
AGAGUUUGAUCCUGGCUCAGAUUGAACGCUGGCGGUAUGCUUAACACAUGCAAGUCGAACGGAAACGAUACUAGCUUGCUAGUAGGCGUCGAGUGGCGGACGGGUGAGUAACGCGUAGGAAUCUACCUGAUAGUGGGGGAUAGCCCGAAGAAAUUCGGAUUAAUACCGCAUAAUCUAUUCGUAGUAAAGUGGGGGACUUUCGAGCCUCACGCUAUCAGAUGAGCCUGCGUAAGAUUAGCUAGUUGGUAGGGUAAAAGCCUACCAAGGCGACGAUCUUUAGCUGGUCUGAGAGGAUGAUCAGCCACAUCGGGACUGAGACACGGCCCGAACUCCUACGGGAGGCAGCAGUGGGGAAUAUUGGACAAUGGGGGCAACCCUGAUCCAGCAAUACCGCGUGUGUGAAGAAGGCCUUAGGGUUGUAAAGCACUUUCAAUUGUGAAGAAAAGCUAGCGGUUAAUAGCCGUUAGCCUUGACGUUAACUUUAGAAGAAGCACCGGCUAACUCCGUGCCAGCAGCCGCGGUAAUACGGAGGGUGCAAGCGUUAAUCGGAAUUACUGGGCGUAAAGCGUGCGUAGGCGGUUUAUUAAGUCAGAUGUGAAAGCCCCGGGCUCAACCUGGGAACUGCAUUUGAAACUGGUCAACUAGAGUAUGGUAGAGGAAAGUGGAAUUUCUGGUGUAGCGGUGAAAUGCGUAGAUAUCAGAAGGAACAUCAAUGGCGAAGGCAACUUUCUGGACCAAUACUGACGCUGAGGUACGAAAGCGUGGGUAGCAAACAGGAUUAGAUACCCUGGUAGUCCACGCCGUAAACGAUGAUAACUAGCCGUUGGGGGGAUUUACCCCUUAGUGGCGAAGCUAACGCGUUAAGUUAUCCGCCUGGGGAGUACGGCCGCAAGGUUAAAACUCAAAGGAAUUGACGGGGACCCGCACAAGCGGUGGAGCAUGUGGUUUAAUUCGAUGCAACGCGAAGAACCUUACCUGGUCUUGACAUCCUGCGAACUUUCUAGAAAUAGAUUGGUGCCUUCGGGAACGCAGUGACAGGUGCUGCAUGGCUGUCGUCAGCUCGUGUCGUGAGAUGUUGGGUUAAGUCCCGUAACGAGCGCAACCCUUAUCCUUAUUUGCCAGCACUUCGGGUGGGAACUUUAAGGAGACUGCCGGUGACAAACCGGAGGAAGGAGAGGAUGACGUCAAGUCAUCAUGGCCCUUACGGCCUGGGCUACACACGUGCUACAAUGGACAGUACAGAGGGCCGCAAUACCGCGAGGUGGAGCAAAUCCCAGAAAACUGUUCGUAGUCCGGAUCGGAGUCUGCAACUCGACUCCGUGAAGUCGGAAUCGCUAGUAAUCGCGAAUCAGCAUGUCGCGGUGAAUACGUUCCCGGGCCUUGUACACACCGCCCGUCACACCAUGGGAGUGGGUUGCAAAAGAAGUGGCUAGUCUAACCUUCGGGAGGACGGUCACCACUUUGUGAUUCAUGACUGGGGUGAAGUCGUAACAAGGUAGCCCUAGGGGAACCUGGGGCUG